GCAGACUUGUUAGAAUUUUUUUAGGCUUUUAUUUUGAAGGAAUUGAGUAUGUAAUGACUUUGCAAGAAUUUUGCAAAGUCACAAUUAUUUUGGUUGACUCUGGAAUUUGUGAAAUAAAAAAGGUACUACGUUUUGAAAAAUUUCAGGUGUUUGGUAGUAGAUCUAUAUUUCAAAAUUUGAUAGCUUAUGAGAAUGAUUUUUUGAAUUGUAUGCUGUAAAUUUGAGCUUAAUCAAAUUGUUGAAUUGAAGGCUAUUGAAUUUUAAGUAGGUUGAGAUCUCAGAAAUUAGACUUUGAGAGGCAGUUAGAAUUUCUAAGAUCUUCAACAAUCUACUAGUUGGAUUAGAGUAAAAUUUGUAUUUGAAGAUAAUAGACUUAAUUUUCUACAUAUGUGUGAAUUUUGAGAAUAAUUUAAUGGUUUGAUAAGGAGAUAUUGGUGUCGGAAGUUUAACAUUUAGAUUGGAGAAGGAUGCCAACCAAUACCCGAGUAGAUUUUUAAGAUUUUUCUUCCAAUUGGUGAAUGUAAGUAUCUUCAAAUUUUAUUUGCUUAUUGCCAACUUAGUUGUUGAAAGGUGUGUAAAUUUUUAAGCAAGAUCAAUAACUCAAUUGAUAGAUAUUGAGGUUCUAAACUAUAUUAGGAUUAAAUUGAAUAGAAUUAGAAUUUGAUUUAGGAUUUAGGAUUUGUCUAGGAUUUGAUUUAGGAUUUAGGAUUUUUGUAGGAUUUGAUUUAGGAUUUAGUUUAGGAUUUAGGAUUUGUUUAGAGUUUGAUUUAGGAUUUUUUUUAGGAUCUAGAAUUUAAUCUAAGGUUUGAUUUAAGAUUUAAGAUUUAAGAUUUGUCAAGGAUUUGAUUUAGAGAUUAGUUUAAGAUUUAAAGGUUGGUUUAGGAUUUAGAGUUUAAUUUAGGAUUCAAGAUUUGUCUAGAAUUUGGUUUAGGAUUUAGGAUUUUUUUAGAGUUUGAUUUAGGAUUUAAUUUAGGAUUUAGGAUUUAUAUAGGAUUUGAUUUAAGAUUUAGUUUAGAAUCUAGGAUUUGAUCUAAGAUUUGAUCUAGGAUUUGGUUUAGGAUUUAAGAUUUUUUUAAAAUUUGAUUUAGGAUUUGAUUUAGGAUUUGAAAUUUGUUUAGUGUUUGAUUUAGGAUUUGAUUUAAGAUUAAAGAUUUUUAUCUAGGGUUUGAUUGAAGUCCAUUAGGAUUUCAAUUAGAAUUAAAUUAAAACUUAGUUGAGAUUUAUUUGAAAAAUAUUUUAAAUUAUUUUAAUAUUUUUUAAGACUUCUUAAGAAUUCUUUUAAGGUUUAUUAUGGAUUUUCUUUCAACUCUUUUAAGAUUUCUUAUUGUUUCUUUUGUAAUUUUUUAAUAUUUCUUUUGAAUUUGAUUAAAGCUUAUUUAACAUUAUUAAGGUUUAAUUAGAAUUUAUUUAAUAUUCUAUUAGAAUUAGAAUUUUGUUGUUGCAAUUUUCAUUUUGCCUUUCAUAGUCAGGUGCUUGGUGCAUUCUUGAACAAGACUUCACGUAAUACAACAAUGUAGCUACUAAUUAAGAGUAUAUAUAGAAGUAAGAAUCAAGCCUUUUUUUUACUCUUGUCAAUUCAUUUCUAGUCUUUGGUCUUAUUUCAAGACUUUCUAGUCUUCUUGUCUUUAGAAAUAGCCAUUCUAAUUUAAUACUAUAUCAUCUUUGAGUGACUCUUUAGUUCUUUAGAGUGAUACAAGAAUGUAUUAAGAAUUUCUUUCUUAAAGAUUGAUAUCUUUGGCAAUUUGAUAAGAAUUCUAACUUAUUAUUUCU
rnacentral:lncRNA from 1 species